rnacentral:rRNA from 1 species
CCUACGGGUGGCAGCAGUGAGGAAUAUUGGUCAAUGGACGAGAGUCUGAACCAGCCAAGUCGCGUGAAGGAUGACUGCCCUAUGGGUUGUAAACUUCUUUUAUAUGGGAAUAAAAUGUUCCACGUGUGGGCUUUUGUAUGUACCAUAUGAAUAAGGAUCGGCUAACUCCGUGCCCGCAGCCGCGGUAAUACGGAGGAUCCGAGCGUUAUCCGGAUUUAUUGGGUUUAAAGGGAGCGUAGGUGGAUUGUUAAGUCAGUUGUGAAAGUUUGCGGCUCAACCGUAAAAUUGUAGUUGAAACUGGCAGUCUUGAGUACAGUAGAGGUGUGCGGAAUGCGUGGUGUAGCGGUGAAAUGCUUAGAUAUCACGAAGAACUCCGAUUGCGAAGGCAGCUCACUGGACUGCAACUGACACUGAGGCUCGAAAGUGUGGGUAUCAAACAGGAUUAGAUACCCCAGUAGUC